AAUCCAUGCAUAGGACACUUUCAUAGCAAAUCUUUAAAUAUUUCACAUGCCUCAUACAAGCUUUCAUCUUCCAUAUGCUUGAAAGGAGUUAAAUUAUUUCGAAGCUU